rnacentral:rRNA from 1 species
UACGAAGGGGGCUAGCGUUGUUCGGAAUUACUGGGCGUAAAGGGCUCGUAGGCGGCCAACUAAGUCAGACGUGAAAUCCCCAGGCUCAACCUGGGAACUGCGUCUGAUACUGGAUGGCUUGAAUCCGGGAGAGGGAUGCAGAAUUCCAGGUGUAGCGGUGAAAUGCGUAGAUAUCUGGAGGAAUACCGGUGGCGAAGGCGGCAUCCUGGACCGGCAUUGACGCUGAGGAGCGAAAGCCAGGGGAGCAAACGGG